rnacentral:rRNA from 1 species
GACGAACGCUGGCGGCGUGGAUUAGGCAUGCAAGUCGAACGGUAUCAUCCUUUCGGGGGUGAGAGAGUGGCGAACUGGUGAGUAACACGUAGGUUAUCUACCCUCAAGACGGGGACAACCCAGGGAAACUUGGGCUAAUACCGGAUGUGAGCAACUUUUAGUUGUUUGAAAGGUGGCGUAAGCUGUCGCUUGGGGAUGAGCCUGCGUCCUAUUAGUUAGUUGGUGAGGUAACGGCUCACCUAGGCAAUGAUAGGUAGGCGGCCUUAACGGGUGGUCGCCCACACUGGGGAUUGAGAUACGGCCCAGACUCCUACGGGAGGCAGCAGUCGAGAAUAGUCUACAAUGGUCGGAAGACUGAUAGUGCGACGCCGCGUGAACGAUGAAUCCCUUCGGGGUGUAAAGUUCUUUUAUAUGUGAGCAGUGCUUCUUAUAUUAACAGUAUGGGGAGAGAGAUAUUAGCAUAUGAAUAAGCAACGGCUAACUCCGUGCCAGCAGCCGCGGUAAAACGU